rnacentral:rRNA from 1 species
AUACGUAGGGGGCGAGCGUUGUCCGGAAUUACUGGGCGUAAAGAGCUCGUAGGUGGUUUGUCGCGUCGUCUGUGAAAUUCCGGGGCUUAACUCCGGGCGUGCAGGCGAUACGGGCAUAACUUGAGUACUGUAGGGGAGACUGGGAUUCCUGGUGUAGCGGUGAAAUGCGCAGAUAUCAGGAGGAACACCGGUGGCGAAGGCGGGUCUCUGGGCAGUAACUGACGCUGAGGAGCGAAAGCAUGGGUAGCGAACAGGAUUAGAUACCCUGGUAGUCCAUGCCGUAAACGGUGGGCGCUAGGUGUAGGGGUCUUCCACGACUUCUGUGCCGUAGCUAACGCAUUAAGCGCCCCGCCUGGGGAGUACGGCCGCAAGGCUAAAACUCAAAUGAAUUGACGGGG